CACGUAGGGGACGAGCGUUGUCCGGAUUCAUUGGGCGUAAAGCGCGCGUAGGCGGCCUUCUAAGUCGAACGUGAAAUCCCCGGGCUCAACCCGGGAACUGCGUCCGAUACUGGAAGGCUUGAAUCUGGGAGAGGGAUGCGGAAUUCCAGGUGUAGCGGUGAAAUGCGUAGAUAUCUGGAGGAACACCGGUGGCGAAGGCGGCAUCCUGGACCGGUAUUGACGCUGAGGCGCGAAAGCCAGGGGAGCAAACGGG
rnacentral:rRNA from 1 species